rnacentral:rRNA from 1 species
CAGGACGAACGCUGGCGGCGUGCCUAAUACAUGCAAGCCGAACGGUCUUUCUAUGGAAGCUUGCUUCCACUGAGAAGAUAGUGGCGAACGGGUGAGUAACACGUGGGUAACCUGCCCAUAAGAGGGGGGAUAACAUCCGGAAACGGGUGCUAAUACCGCAUAGUUUUUCUUGAUCGCAUGAUCGGGAAAGGAAAGACGGCCUUUGUGCUGUCGCUUAUGGAUGGACCCGCGGCGUAUUAGUUAGUUGGUGAGGUAACGGCUCACCAAGACGAUGAUACGUAGCCGACCUGAGAGGGUGAUCGGCCACAUUGGGACUGAGACACGGCCCAAACUCCUACGGGAGGCAGCAGUAGGGAAUCUUCCGCAAUGGACGAAAGUCUGACGGAGCAACGCCGCGUGAGUGAAGAAAAGGUUUUUCGGAUCGUAAAACUCUGUUGUCAGAGAAGAACAAGUUGGAGAGUAACUGCUCCAGCCUUGACGGUAUCUGACCAGAAAGCCACGGCUAACUACGUGCCAGCCGCAGC